UGCCCUCUCGUUCAAUGGUAGGACUAGCGACUCUGACUCGCUCGAUCGGGGUUCGAAUCCCUGGGGGGCAACCA
rnacentral:tRNA from 1 species